UCCCCUAGGUCUAGCCAUUCAAAGAACUCUUCUCCAUAUGUUUGAUCUGAUCGAAGAACUAUACAGAAUUCAAACAUCAAAUCGGCCAUUUUAGAGUUCAUUUGAUGCCACAACAACUGUUGAUUUUCACUAUUCAAUCUAUAUUCAGAUGUUUCAUUUGAUGCCAACACCACAAGGAAGCUUUUAUGUGUACAAUGACAUAUUCCGUUUGAACUAUGCAUGAGAUAAGGUGUCAUUCUAGAACCCAAGUGUGUUUCUUAGUUUUU